UCUAGGGCAAAACAUCAGAGCGACUACUAAGAAUUUACAAAGGAGUGAAUCCGUUUACAAACAAAAUCCUACAUCAGAAGAAAGGCGCGAAAGAUGGGAAGUGGCCCGGUGGUGGAUUCCUGUGCACGUCUACUGCCUGGGGGCGUAAAACAACAAUAAGGGUGAGUGGACCCAAAAACAAAGUUGAGAAAAUAGUAUAAGAACAUACUAACCCCACUGUAAAAACAGUUAUACAAACUAGCUUAUUUUCUUUAUUUCUGAAAUCAAUGCAUAUAUAUAAUUAUAUACAUUUGAAAACAGUUUAAACUAUCACCUAGGUGUACCCUUAUUUCUGUCAAUUCCUUAUAUCCGUCAAUUCCUUGCAUCACCAUGGGUGACACAUACUAGCAGGUCUCAGUGACACGAAGUUAGUCUGACCGCAACUCGCAGGAUUCAGGGGACCGUAGUCCACCUUUAUCCGCAGUACUCGCUCCACACAAGUUCGCAGCAUGCAACAUAAAAUAUUUAACAGAAUAAAACAACUUAUAACUGAAACUGAACUGCUUAAAUUCAUUUACUAAAACAAAGAGUCCACUCACUGAUAGUCCGAGCUCGCUGGACCUCUUGAAGGUCCCUCCUGCGAGUCAACUGGUGCCCGGGUGCCUCACUCGUCUGAUUUGGUGGCCGAAUGACGGAGUUUGAACGGUAAGAAGUUCUGUCAAAUCCGGCUACUUCCCUUCGAUUUUUCCGACGAUUUCACGGCGGCUGACUUCAGAGAGUGGUCGGGGCUUGAAGACAGAACCGAGCUGGUCCUGUUGGCACCAACGGCAGGGGCAGAGGUGGUCGGUGGAGGAAGUUUUGGACGUUUGGAGGGCGACGGCUGGAGGAAAAAAAACAGAGAGGGAGGAGAGCUCGCGGGGAGAGAGAGAGAGAGAGAGAGAGAGAGAGAGAGAGAGAGAGAGAGAGAAAUGAGGUUUUAUAAAAAUCUGAUUUUUCUAAUUACCAUUUUGCCCCUCGUGAUAUUUAAUCGCAUUUUCUUCAUUAAAACUCCGAUUCGAGCUCACUUCGUGUCUAUGAACUCAUUUCGUCGUGCUCUACGCAACGGUGUAUGUGGAAUUGUCAAAUUCCUUUUCGGUCAAAAAGUCAACUUUUCGUUCAUAAUUUAUUCCAAGGGAAAAAUUGUCUUUCCGCAUAAUAAAUUACUAAUUAAAUAUGAAUUUUAGGUUUAGGUCAUUACACUAAGUGUUCUUUCCUUUGUCUUGAGGCCUCCUAUUUAUAGGCCCCUGUAUGAUUCUUGACCAAAAUGACUUUCCUACUUUAGGUCUUUCUUUGUGGGAUUUUGAUUUGAUUUGAAAUCAAUUCCGAUAAUUUGGGAAUUUAAUUUAAUUAUCUUCAAUUGAUUGACUUGAUUAAUAUUUGAUUUAAAUCAAAGUCAAUCAUAGAAGAUCCUUCCCUUUAAUUUUAUCUUCAAUUUGAAUCGAUUGAUACACUCCGUUGGAUGUCGAUACGUGUCACCUAUGACAACUAAUCUAAUUUUGAUGAGUCGUAUGCCACGUGGGUGAAUCAUGAGGCCUGUAAUUUAAUCCACCAAACCUUAAUUAUUUUCUUAUUUAGUGAAAUUUAAUUCGCCAAUUUUUUUUUGUCUACGUUGGUCUUGGUGGAAUAUUAACGCCCAAUUGAUACUCAUAUGACGAUGAACAUAUUUAGGAUUAUGGGAUCAUGAUAAGUCUCGAUGUAUGCAAUCUCAUUACGUAAUUCUUAUGUCCACUUAUAUUCCUAGGACUGCAGUUGUUUUACUACUAUAAUAAUAUACCAGAUAUCAUGGUUGAAAACAACUAGUCUUGCCCAUGAAUAACUUAAUGAGUCAUUACAUAAGAUGUCUUUAACAUUAAUUAUCGUAUAAUUAGUUGGCUUUAAGGGCAUACUACUAACACUCUCUUCCUUACUUCUUCCUUCCUCCCUUCUCUUCUCUUCCCCUACUUUCAGAGACAGAAGGUUUCUCCUAUUUGUCUUUGUUAUGUUAUGAUUUUCCUUCCACUCAUCACAUGCGGAUGCAUCCUCAUGUCGGAUCAAUACCACCAUCUUUUUUGCGGUUUCUUCAUGUUUGAAAUAAGUAGCAGAGACUAUUUGAGUUUUCACCUCUCCUUUUGUGAGAGUUUUUCACCUCUCAUUUUGUGAGAGUUUUUCAUCUCUCCUUUGUGAGAGUUAUUUUAUUUGUAUUGUUCUGUCUUGGUUUUCUCAAGCUUUAUCUCUUUUUGGUUGUUCUAAGUUUGCACUCUUAGUUAGAAUGCCUAUGCCAGAGUUUCUUCAAUCCUGUGUGGUUGUUAGUGGAGGAGCCCCAAAUUGUCUUAAUUUUGAUGUUAGAUCACUUUGUUAUUGUAGUGGCCAUUUGUGGCUAGAUUGUAUUGCCCCUUUGGAGCUGGUGGCUUUUUUGACUGAAGUAUGAAUGCAAUCCCAUAAUUUCUAUAAAAAAAAAAAUUUGGAAAAAAAUAUAUAUAUUCAAAGAAUGCUGUUAUUCCCACCAAUCUGUCCUAUUUCUCCACUCCCCCUAAUCUUCAAAAUUUUAAACACAAUUUUACCACUUUGUAAAAUGACUUUUAAAGACUCAAGUAUAGACGUUACUAUCCCAAUCCAAUCAUAUGAUGCUAGCUAUAUAUUAUUUUGACUUCCCUUUUCCUUAUUUCUCUCUCCUUGUUUAUCUUUUGGCUUCUUCGCCUGCAAGCGCUGGAACAUUCCUUCUUUUUUUUCCCCUGAUUUACUUCUCUUUUCUCUUCCCUUCGGUUGCCCCUCUUAGCCACUUGGCUAUGGUUCCCUAUAAAUUCUAUGUCUUUCCCCCUUAACGCAAGCACUACAUAAGCAAGCUACCUUUCCUUCCUUCUUUUUCUGCCCCCCUCCUCUUAAGUCUUUCCUUAUCUUUCUCCUCCAAUUCAAAUCAAACAUUUCUCCUUGCUCAGAUCAUCUCCAACCCAUAAGGCCAAACUAAAAAAAUCCCCAAUUAUAGCCCCAUUCAUCUCCCAACCCAAGAAAAGUAAAGGGCCAAAAUAUGGGAAAACCCAAACUUAGGGCCAAAUACCAAUCCAUCUAUUGCCUGGGCAGAAAAACUUUUUGGUGGAGCCCAUUCAAGGCUCAUGCAGCCCAUAUGCAAGGAAGAGCAAUUGGGGCUAGUGCUGCUGGUCCCGCAGAUUGUGUCGCGCCACUUGUCAAAGAUUUAUGAAAUUGUUAUGGAAGAAAAAUUUAGAUUGUAAAAAUCCCAGCUUUUUGUAACCCCCUAAAAAAACCAUUAAUAAAUAAGUAAAUGUUGUAAAAGUGAAUAGAGAAAGUAUAUGAAAAGUAAGAGUAGUUCUCAAUAGCUCAAUGCUCAAGUGUCUUAUUCAUCUUUAGUGCUUACUAUUUAUAGGCAUAUGAAAUAUAUCAUCAUUUACCACCCUUAAGUGGUGGGUUACAAAACAUAAUAACCAAUGAUAAAUAUGGUACUUAGUGCAUAGGUUACAACCCUAUAAUGAAAGAUAUAAUGAUGGGUAUAGUGGAGGAAUUACAAUGGACUUAUGGUGGGCAUCCAUAAUAUUUGAGGUUACAACACUCCCCCUUGGAUGUCCACCAUGCAUGGAGUAUGCCUCAUUAAAACCUUGCCAGUAAAACCUGGUGGGACAAAACCUAGGCGAAGGGAAAAGAGUACAUAUCCAUGUGUAAUAUAGAACGUGUGACACUGCCUCAUUAAAAUCUUGCCUGAAAAAACCCAGUGGGAUAAAAACCAAAAGGAAGGAAAAAGAGUAUAGUGUGAAGGUCUCAAUUAUGACACGCUCCCCCUGAUGCUGCCAAAAGAUCCUUGAGUUGACGCAUUCCAAUAUGGUUGACCAUCUUUCUGAGUGUUGUAGUUGGCAGUGCUUUAGUGAAUAAAUCUGCAAAGUUGUUGCUGGAUUGUAUUUGUUGAACAUCUAUGUUACCAUUCUUCUGAAGUUCAUGCGUGUAGAAAUUUUUUGGGAAAAUGUGUUUGGUUCUGUCACCUUUGAUGUAUCCAUUUGUGAUUUGAGCAAUACAAGCAGCAUUAUCUUCAUAUAGCAAUGUUGGAGAAUUUUUGAUUGAAGACAACCCACUUGUUUCUCGAAUAUGUUGUAUCAUAGAUCUCAGCCAUAUACAUUCCCGACUUGCUUCAUGCAAUGCUAAUAUUUCAGAAUGGUUUGAAGAAGUGGCGGCUAAUGUUUGCUUUACAGACAACCAUGAUAUAGCAACACCACCACAAGUGAACACAUACCCUGUUUGUGAUCUACCUUUAUGUGAAUCAGAAAAAUAACCAGCAUCAGCAUAGCCAACUAUUUGGAAUUUUGACCCUUUUGAAUAAAAUAAACCCAUGUCAGCUGUUCCACGAAAAUUUCGUAGUAUAUGUUUAACACCAUUCCAAUGUCUCUUAGUUGGUGCAGAACUAUACCUUGCUAAUAAGUUUAUAGAAAUAGCUAUAUCAGGCUGUGUACAAUUUGCAAGAUACUUUAAAUCUUCAAUUGCACUAAGGUAUGUUACUUCAGGACCAAGUAAUUCUUCAUUAUCUUCUCGUGGGCGAAAAAGACCUUUCUUUACAUCAAUUGAUCGAACAACCAUGGGGCUACUUAAUGGAUAAGCUUUAUCCAUAUAAAAUCGUUUUAAAACUUUUUAUGUAUAUGUUGAUUGAUGGAUAAAGAUUCCAGUUGGUAAAUGCUCGAUCUGCAGGUUGAGACAGAAUUUAGUCUUCCCAAGAUUUUUCAUCUGAAAUUCCUUCAUUAAAUAAGCAGCAGUCUUUGUAAGCUCUUCAGGAGUUCCAACAAGGUUUAAAUCAUCCACAUAUACUACAAUAAUAGCAAAUCCACUUCCAGAUCUUUUAAUAAAAACACAUGGACAAAUUGGAUUAUUUACAUAUCCUUCUUGUAUAAGAUAUUCACUAAGGCGGUUAUACCACAUUCUUCCAGAUUGCUUUAAUCCAUACAAGGAUCGUUGUAAUUUAAUUGAAUACAUGUCAUGAUAUUUUGGAUCAUUUGCUUCAGGCAAUUUAAAUCUUUCUGGGAUCUUCAUAUAGAUAUCAUUCUCAAGUGAUCCGUAUAGGUAUGCAGUAACUACAUCCAUGAGUUUCAUAUCAAGUCUUUCUAUGACAACCAAACUAAUCAAGAAACAUAAUGUGAUUGCAUCUAUCACAGGGGAAUAUGUCUCCUCAUAAUCGAUUCUAGGUCUCUGCUAGAAACCUUGUGCUACAAGUCGUGCUUUGUAUCUCACAAUUUCAUUUUUCUCGUUACGUUUCCUUACAAACACUCAUUUGUAUCCAACCGGUUUCACACUUGCAGGUGUUUGGACUACUGGUCCGAAUACUUUACGAUUUUCCAAGGAAUUUAAUUAUACUUGGAUCACAUCUUUCCAUUUUGGCCAAUCCUCUCUAUGUCGACAUUCUUCAACAGUUUUUUGUUCAAGAUCCUCAUUAUCUUUUAUAAUUUCUAUAGCAACCAUGUAUACAAAGACAUCAUCAACAAUAGUUUUCUUUCUAUCCCAGCUUUCUCUUGUACUCAUAUAAUUCAAAGAGAUCUCUUCUGAUGUAUGUACUUCUUCUGGUGUAUGUACUUCUUCUGGUGUAUGUGCCUCUAUAGGGGCUAUAUCUUCAUCAAUUUUAAACUGGUCAGUUUUUGGCUCAUCAAGAGUACUAAUUUGUUUCGAAUUUUUAUCUUCUUAUGGAAUAGGCACUUCUUGUGUCCUUUUCUUUCGGGUAUUGACCUUCAGGGACAUCAAUCCUUGCUGGAGUAUUUACAGCCAAUAUAUGAGAUUUUGUUACUUUCUUUAUGUCAGUAAAAGCAUAUGGUAAUUGAUUUGCUAUACUUUGCAAAUGGAUGAUCCUUUGAACUUCAUAUUCAAUUUGAUUUGUACGUGGAUACAGAUGAGACAAUGAUGAUGCAUUCCAUGUAAUUUCACGCCGUUCUUCAGGAAGCAACACUUUUUCUCCCCCUAACGGCGGGAAAAUUAUCUCAUCAAAAUGGCAAUCCUCAAAGCGUGCUGUAAACAUAUCACCCGUCAGGGGUUCAAGAUAUCUAAUUAUGAAUGGAGAAUUAAAUCCAAUGUAAAUUCCAAGAUAUCUUUGAGAGCCCAUCUUAGUUCUCUUUAGUGGAAAAAUGGGAACAUUUACAGCACAGCCAAAAAUUUUUAAAUGAGAAAUAUUAGGUUGUUGGCCCAAACCAAGUUGUAAUGGAGAAUAUUGAUGAUAUGCAGUUGGUUGGAUGCGAACCAAAGAUGCAGCAUGCAAUAUAGCAUGUCCCCAAACAGAAGUAGGUAAUUUUGACCUUAAAAGUAAAGACCGAGCAAUCGUUUUAAGGCGUUUGAUAAAGGACUCUACUAAUCCAUUUUGAGUAUGUAUAUGUGCAACUAGAUGUUCAACACCAAUGCCAAUGGACAUGCAAUAAUCAUCAAAUGCUUGAGAUGUAAACUCACAAGCAUUAUCAAGACGAAUUGUCUUAAUUCGAUAGUCAGAAAAUUGUGCCAUCAAUUAGAUUGUUUGAGCAAGAAGCUUAGCAAAUGCAAUAGAACAAGUAGAAAGUAGGCAAACAUGUGACCAUCUUGCUGAUGCGUCUAUUAAAACCAUGAAAUAACUAAAUGGCCCACAUGGUGGAUGAAUAGGUCCACAUAUAUCCCCUCGGAUUCGUUGUAAAAAUGUUGGGGAUUCACUAACAACUUUCAAGGGAGAUGGUUUAAUAACCAAUUUUCCUUGUGAGCAAGCCUGGCAUGGACAAUCACUGGAUAAAAGAAUCCUCUGGUUCUUUAAUGGAUGACCAUGUGAAUUUUCAAUUAUUCGACACAUCAUUGUUGACCCUGGAUGGCCAAGUCGGUCAUGCCAAAGCAUAAAAAGCUUUGGAUCACUGAACUUCUGGUUUAUUAUGGUAUUUGAUUCUAUUGCACUUAUAGUUGUAUAAUACAAGCCAUAUAAGAGAGCUGGAAGUUUUUCUACUACAUGCUUAUGGCAUGAAAUAAUAGAAGUAAUGAGCAAAUAUUCUAUAUCCCCUCAUUUGUAGUGUCAAUAUGAAACCCAUUUAGACAUAUAUCCUUAAAACUAAUCAGAUUUGAAGGAAGUUGAGGUUCCACCCCAAAACCAAUUGGUAAUGGGGGGAGUAGCCCAACUCCUUAUAAGCCCUUGCUAGGUUUCUCAACUUUCCAAUGUGGAACUUUUUACCUUCACAUUCUCACACGCCCCCACACGUGUGGCGAAUUUUCAAGACUAACACGUGGACAACACAUAUUGGGUGAUGUGGAGCACGUGUGGCCGUUGGACUUUCACACGUGGGCAUCCCACUCUGAUACCAUAAAGGAAGUUGAGGUUCCACCCCAAACCAUUGGCAAUGAGGGGAGUAGUCCAACUCCUUACAAACUCUUGCUAGGUUUCUCAACUUUCCAAUGUGGGACGUUUUACCUUCACAUUCUCACAAGAUUUCUUCUAGAUCUGAUAGAAUAUAAAGCCUCUUUGAUUUAAUUGUGUGUUCCUCCAUGUAAUAUUAAACUGGCUCUUCCAGAGCCUUCGAUUAGCUUUGCACUACCUGAAAGUGUAUUCACAUUGGCUUUUGGUAAUUUUAAGUUUGAAAAUUAUUUCUUAUCCCGAAGGAUUGUAUGUGUUGUUGCACUAUCCACCAAACAUACAUCGCCAUCAUGCAUCUUGGAAUUGCUCAAAGCAUUGACAUUUUCCAUGCUUCUUCAUUUAAAGAAAAAUAUAUAUAAUAAGUUUAUGAAUAAAUAUAAUAAAAAAUAAAAUAAAAUAAUGCGAUCAUAGAUCAUUUUAUUGAAUUGAAAGCAUUACAAAUGAAAAAUUGAAACUUAAAAUCAUAAGUUCAUAUCGUUUUAAUGAAUUGAAAUAAAGCAACAUAAUAGAGCAACAUAAAAUUAGUCAAUAUUGGGGUUUCUAUCAUUGGCAUCAUCAUCACCAUCCUUCAUAUUUUCAUCACCAACAUUGGUAUUUCCAUCACCAUAUGAAUGGUCAAAUGUGCCGCUUGGUUCUGCAAAGAAAUAUAACACAUCCAAAUAGGUGAUAUUCAUUGGCUCAGUAAAAUCAUAAAAAAUGUUGCUGAAAUCGAUGAAGUUUGUUUCUUUCUCUUUUCUCUUUCCCUUAAUUGAUGCUUGAUAAAGAUUAACCAGGUGUUUCGCCGUACGACAGGUACAAGACCAAUGUCCUUUCAUACCACACCUAUAACAAGCCUCAUCACUUCUUUUUUUUUUUUUUUCAGAAUUAAUCUGCAUACCUUUCCCUUUUCCUUGUUUUUCUUCAUUGUCAUUCCACUUUUGGUGGUAUGGUGCACUUUUCUUAUUUGAGGCAUGAUUGUGACCACCUCGGUUUCGAAAAUUAUAAUGACCACGACCAUAACUACCACCCUGACCACGGCCAUGAUUGCUUGCAUUUGCUUCAGGAAAUGGUUUUGAGCCAAUUGGGUGGGAAUUAUGGUUUUUGACCAAAAGCUCAUUGUUUUGUUCAGCAACAAGAAGACAUGAAAUCAGUUGGGAAUAUUUUGUAAAUCUUUUUUCUCGGUAUUGCUGCUGCAGGAGCAUGUUUGAUGCAUGAAAAGUUGUGAAUGUUUUCUCCAACAUAUCUUCAUCAAUAAACGUGUCUCCACACAACCUCAAUUGAGAGACAGUUUUGAACAUUGUUGAGUUAUACUCAUUCACUAUUUUGAAAUCCUUCAAGCGCAGGUGCAUCCAAUCAUAACGAGUCUUUGGAAGAAUUAUACUCUUCUAAUGGUCAUACAUUUCUUCCAAAUUUUUCUAUAGGAUAGCAGGAUCCUUCACCUUAAGGUAUUCAGAUUUCAAUCCUUCAUAAAGGAGAUGGUGGAGGAAAAUCAUAGCUUUCAAGCGAUCCUGUAGGGAUGCUUCAUUUCUUUCCUUGAUGGUAUUUCCAAGAUCCUUUGCAUUCAAAUGAAUUUCAGCAUCAAGGAUCCAGGUCAAAUAGUUCUUGCCAGAAAUGUCAAGUGCCACAAACUCAAGCUUCAUGAGAUUUGACAUUGUUGAAUAUCUCUAAAAAAUUAAAAAUCAAAUAUUUCAAAAUUAAUUAAUUGUAAACAUGAAAAAUUAAAAUAUGCCUCAAUAAUAAUAAAAAUGAUCAUAUUACUAUCAAAUAAAAAAAUUAAAUAAAUGAACAUAUGCAUAAUUAGUCACUCAAAACAAUAGAUUUGAGUUCUAUAUAUUUAGGGCUUCAGGCUCUAAAAUAAUUAUAUAACUUAGAACUUCAGGUUCUAGAAUUAUUGAAUUUCUUUGAUUUAAAACUUCAGGUUUAAAUCAUUAGGAUGUGAACUUUGGGUUCUAAUAUAUAAAUAAAAUCCAUCUUUAUAAAAAUGCAACCGUUUAUUUAUAUAUUAUAAUAUAUAAAAUUAUAUGCAUGUUAUAGUGUAUAUUAAAUAUAUAUAUAAAAUAGAGACCCUGCACAAUUGGUUAGAAAAGAAAAGCUAAGAACAUGGUAGAACUAAACUUUGAGUCAUAGCAUCCUUCUGUCUUAUAGUUAAUCGACAUGUGUGAGAUUAUGUCUCAAAGAAACUUGGUUGGUGAAAGAAAAAAAAAUAUUAUAGCAUCAAUCGAAAUAAAAUAAGAAAUUAGAUAAGAAAAAUUAUACCAAGUCCAAGCCAAGAUCCUCAACUGAUAAUAGAGUCGUGCUAAUAACAUAUUGUAAAAAUGAAUAGAGAAAGUAUAUGAAAAGUAAGAGUAGUUCUCAACAGCUCAGUGCUCAAGAGUCUUAUUCAUCUUUAGUGCCUACUAUUUAUAGGCAUAGGAAAUACAUCAUCAUUUACCACCCUUAAGUGGUGUGUUACAAAACAUAAUAACCAAUGAUAAAUAUGGUAUUUAGUGCAUAGGUUACAACCCUAUAAUGAUAGGUAUAAUGAUGGGUAUAAUGGAGGAAUUACAAUAGACUUAUGGUGGGCAUCCAUAAACUUUGGGGUUACAAUAGUAAAAAUUUUAUUCCCCGUUAAACCGUGUAAUUCAUGUAUCUCUUCACCCUUAAAUCAAAGUUCUCAUCCUCAGAUUUCUAACUCUUUUUUCUUGUGCAUUUUGGGCUUCGUUUCAUUUUCGUGCCUUUGUCCCCAAUUUCAAUUACUUGAAAAUUUACCAGCCACUCAAAUUAGAUAAUCGUUCAACUCUGUGAUUUGGAAGAGUAACGUUGAGAUAUUUUUUUGGUUGAGUUGUAGAAGAACUGAAGGUUAAGACAAGAAAAUAAUAAUUUUAAAAAGAGGGUUACAACAAGCUACAGAUAAUAGAAGGAAGGUGGAAGUCAAAAUAAUAGAAUUUGGCAACAUAUGAUGGGGUUAGUAAAGAGAAUUUACUUGAAUUAAUAAUUAAAUUGUAUUUUAGGAAUAAUGGUGGGUGGAAAGAUAAGAUUGUGUUUUUUCAAAUUUUAAAUAGUAGAAGAUAACGUAGGUGGGAAAAUAGGAAAGAGAAUUUACGUGAAUUAAUAAUUAAAGGGUAUUUUAAGAAUAAUGGUGGGUGGAAAGAUAGGAUUGUGUUUUUUUAAAUUUAAAUAGUAGGUGAGAAGAUAAGGUGAGUAGAGAAAUAGAAAAGAGAAUUUACGUGAAUUAAUAAUUAAAGGGUAUUUUAAGACUAAUGAUGAGUGGAAAGAUAGAAUUGUGCUUUUUUAAAUUUAAAUAAUAGGUGAGAAUAUAAGAUGGAUGGAUAAAUAAGACGACGGUGGAAAUAGCAGCAAUAUAGAAAUUAAUAAAAACACAAAUUCCAAAUACUUUUUUUGGUCUGAAACACAAAUUCCAAAUAUACAGACACAAUGUCAAGUGAAAUGUGAAGAGACGAGAGAGAGAAUGUGAUGGCAAACCCUCGAAGGAACAGCCAGAGCUCAGAGAACCAAUUCCAUAGCCAAAGCAUCCAAUUCUCCUCAUCACUUGUCCACUUUCUGAAGAAGCCGCAUGCCUUCCCUUUUCUGCUCUCCAUCCUCCUUUUGCUCACAUGGGUCUCUCUCAGACUUCAACACUCCUCCUACCUCUCCUCUGCUCCUUCCCAUAUUUCUAAAGACAAAGACAAGCCCCUCACCCAUAAAAAAUGGAGCCAAUUGAGUGAUUCCAGCGCCAAUGUCAUUAGGUUCAGCUCUGGGUUUCCUUCUCGGAUUGCAAAAGACAAGAGGGGAUGGCUGCUCGACCCCAUCUCCCUUGCCCUUGAUUCUGGCAUUUCAGGCACACCCCCUUUCUCUUUCUUGUUUUCCUUUUUUGUUGCUUUUCUUUUUUCGUAAUUUGAAAGGUAAUUGAUGGGAUUUUCUUUGAAUAGUGAGAGAGAGAGUUGAUGGGUGAAAUAAUUUUUUAUUUUUUGUAUUAUUUGUUUGCAUCAAAAUGCAUCCGUUUCCAUUGCAUUGUCAUGAAAGAGUAUUUUGAUUUCAACCCAUUUGGCUGCUUUUUCUUGCACUGUAUGACAUUGAUUCUAUAGCCUGUUGGUUGUAUAAAUAUUGAAUUUAAAUUCUUGUGAAGUUGUAGGAAAAUGAAUUUUAUUGGGUUUCCUCUGGAUUUGGAUUUCCAACUCAAAUCUGAUCCCUGAAACAAAAUGCAUUUGCUGGUAGUUGAGGAAAUGAUUGUGUUUGUUUACAGGUGGAGCUGUGGGCUGUGUUUCAAUUCAUCUUGGAGAAAUCCAACCUGGUGGUUUGAGGGGAAAUCACAGGCACCAUACUUGUAAUGAAACAUUUGUCAUAUGGGGUGCUGAAACCAAGUUUAGGGUAAGCUCUCAGUUCCAUAGAAGCAUAAAUGUUAUAAAAUUUUACUUUUUUUUUGCAGUAUACUAAAUGACUAGAUCAUCUAUUCUGGAUGUAUUCAUUGUGGCAAUCAAUAUAAUUUUUCGACAAGAUUGUUCAUUGAGUUGAAAAGUUCCAAAUUGAUAGAGGAUAAUUGCAUGCAUGAAACAAUGAAAAUAUGAAAACUUUGAUAUAACUUCCGUUCUGUUUAUAGAUGUUUGAGCUGUUUGCCUUAUUUUAUAUCUGAUGUCAGUUCAAAACUUAUGUAUGUUGGAAAUUAAAUUUAGGUUCUGAGUAAUUUAGAUGUUUAUGAUAAAAAAAACUGAAGGGAACUCACUCCAGUUUUAAACCCAAAUGCAUAGUUUGAUUACAUGAAUACUUUUGCCCGUCUCUGCCUGAAAGUUUGUAGGACCUUAUGUUCAUUUUCUGCCUAGGGUUUUUAUAUAUGUUCUAUGUCUGACCACGUCAUGGAACUCUGCUGUUUGGACAUCAAACUGGCUAUUUAGCAAGACUUUAAAAACAUAUAGCAGCGCAUAGGCACAAAUCACAACUGGCCAACAAGGGCAAACAAGGAUGCCACAUAAUGUUGAAAAGUUCUAUAUUUCAACUUAUUUCGUUUAUGAAAUUGCAUAGAUGAUUUUGUUUAUGAAAUCAAAUAAAAUAAUCAUGUAGUUGGAUUUGAACUCAAGGGUUGAGAAAUGUAGAUCCUUACUCUUAAGUUUUUUUUGGGAAAGAAAGCCUUUAGGUUCAUCUAAAUUUAUGCUAAAAUAACACACUUAUAUCUUAUUUUAGUAAAAACGCAUUAGCAUGCCUAUAAACAAGGGAUUCACUAGAAAUGCACAAGAAUGAACUUUCUAUGUAAGUUCAUUAAUUUAUCUUUUUGUAUAGAAGAUAACUUAGUUUAGAAUGACCUAAAUAUCCUGACCAUUCUACUACCAACUUGUUUAUAAGGCUAUACUUUUCUUUCUCAAAACCAAUUCAUUUAGUUAAUUAAACUGAUGUGAAAUAAUCUUCACCACAAGGAUUUUAUUUUCACACGUCAUCUCCACUGGCUAGUCACAGCCAUGGCUAAUUUCUGAAAAAUUCUGGGAAGUAGCUAGAUAGGAAGUUCUGGGUGGUAGUAUGGCACCAUUCUGCUGUCAAAAUGUCAUAAAUCUUGUCCUUUGUACAAUAUCAGUGAGAUCCAGUGGAAAUGCCUUGGAUAUUUUCACAGAUAUCAAAUAUAUUUCUACCAAUUUCCAAUUCCUGCUCUCUUUCAGCCCAAUAUGGAGAAUUUCAUUGAAAUGUUGCAGGAAGAAACCUUCUGCUCCCAAUGUGUUGGCAACUUAAAAUUUUGACAUAUCCGCAUAAUAUCGGACUGGAUAUGUCAAUAUUUUCAUCACUGAGUGCAAGUUCUCAUCACCAGAUUUUAUUUCCUUUGUUUCCGAGGUUGCUUGUAUUUUUAUGGCACACACAAAUUGAAAUUGCCUGAUGUUAUGGCCCUUUCUGCUGUCAACAAAUAAAUUGUGUCAACGGUCCUACAGUAGUUAUUAAAACGACUGCAUUCUAAUGUGCAUCCAUUAGGAAAUUGCCUGAUAGUAUCUGUUGUUACAAUUAGGAUGAAUAAGUAAUUCAGAUGAUCCGAUAUAGGUAUAAUGACAUAAAUUUAGAUGUCUCAUUGUAGUGUUUCACUUCAUAAUCUUGUUAUUUUUUACUUACUCUUUUAGUUGUGAACUAUUUGAAGCUGGAGAACCACCAGGUGGAUGGUAAAGGCUAUGCUGAAGUGACCAUUGGUGCAGAUGAGGUUGCUGUUGCAGGUAGCCCAAGCGGAACUGCCCAUGCUUUAAUAAAUAUAGAUCCAGUACGGAGUUCAUACUUCAUAGGAUGUCAAGACAGCAUCAUAAAUUAUAACAGCUCAAGUACAGAUUUUAAUGUCUGGAAAAAUCUUUAAGUAAUUUAUUUAUUUAUAUAUAUAGUCCAUCCAAGCAACUUAUUCAGUAACUUGGAGUCAAACAUGAAAAAUCGUUGUCUUUCUCUCUCUCCUAGCUUGCAAUUUACAAGACUAGGGCAUUGGCGGAGUACAUAUAGACUAUCUAACAAGAGUUUCUUAGCUUCUAUGUAUAUAUGUGUUUUCUUUUUUAGCAUGUGAUUGGCAGUGCUGGGGCUUUGCAAGAUUACAAAUUGACUAUGGAACAUAUUUUCUUAGGCAUUUUUGUAUACGUGUACUGUUUCGUCCAUAUUUUUGUAUUCUCAGCAAGCAUUCUUUGUUUCCAGCAAAAGCAAGAAUUCUGUUUUCUGUAUUUUGCUUUCGUAAACAUUCUUCGCCUCUUUUUGGAUGCAUGUGCUGGAUGCUAAUAAAUUUUGUUCUCCAUAUGCCACUUCAUUAAAAUUUAAUCUAAGGAAAUUAAAAGUUGACACAUCAUCCUUCAAACAAAAAUUCAAUUUACUCUUAAUUAAAAAAGAAAAAAAACACCCUAACCCAACUAACGGCAAAGUUAACAUCCCGACCUUUUUUUCUUCUUCUCGUCUUCCUGUCUCACGUCUCUUUUGUGGUCAAUUUCUGUCUCACGUCCUGUCCUUAACUUUUUUCUUUCUUCAUGUCUCUGCCUUAAAAUCUUAUCUCUCACACCACGCUUUCCUCUCUCCCAAACCUCUGCAAUCACAAUCCUUUCUUUUUCCCUAUCAAAAGAAAAGUCACGUUUCAAGAGUGUUUUUGUAUUUUGUAUUAUUGUAGGUGGUGGGAUUUUUGCGUUUCUGGGCUUUAUGGUUUCACUGAGUAAUUUAAAUCAUAAAUAACGCAUUAAAUUUAUUUGUCAAGUUAUUCCUUUCUAACCAUAAAAAUCCAAUCUGUUUAGAAAGCUUCCUGAGAAACAAAGAAGAAUAAAUUAUUGUUUUCCAUUUCUGGGAAGAGCCAAGACGCUCAGAAUUUGAUAAUUGUUACCAAGUUUUGUGACCUUGGUAAGAGAUCAAGAUUUUGGGUCAGAGACAAGGAGGACGAAAAAAAAAAAAAAAGACAGGACGUGUGAGACAGGAAGAAUUUAAGAAGGAAGGGCAAAAAAAAGAAAAAAAGAAAGAUCUACAUCAUCCCAAUCUAUACCCCUAGAGCUAUUACUUUUGCAUAUGCCCAGAAUAAUUCAAAUCUUUCAUUGAAGCCAUUGUCAUAAUUAUCUUCAAUUUUUACUUUUACUUUUACUUCAUUGAAUUCCUUUAUCCUCAUUCAAUAAUAUUCUGAAUUUUUGCCCGCCUACACUUGUGUUCUUCAAUUAUUUUCUGAACCCUUUCCCAUUUCUUAUUGUCUUGUUUCAAUCAUGUUCUGAACCAUUGCUCAACUUUGUCUAUCUCACUUUAUUGGAUUCCCUUAUCUUUCCCUAUCUUUUCCCAUCUUCAUUCAAUUAUUUUCUAAACCAUUUCUUAUCUCUUUUUGUCUUGUUUCAAUCAUGUUCUGAACCAUUGCUCAUCUUUGUUCAUCUCACUUUAUUGGAUUCCCUUAUAUUUCCCUAUUUUUUCCUAUCUUCAUUCAAUUAUUUUCAAACAUGUAGGUCAUCUUAUCCUCUUGUCUAUUUAAGAAGUGUUAUUCUACCCAAUUGACCACACAGUCUCCUUCAAUUUUAUUCUUCUUCUUAUAAUGAAUUCACGUGGGAAUGCUAUACAGAAUUUCUUCAAUGAUGAUUUUGAUGAUUAUGACCUUCAUCAACAGAGGGUUGUAAUGGCCGUUCAACACCAUACAUUUUUGUUGGAGCAAUAUGCUCAACAAUCCAAACAUGGUGGUUUCGUUGUAAGCCAUGAAUACAAGAAUCAGAAGAGAGAAAAAUAUCAUAAGAAUCUCAUGGAGGACUAUUUCUGUGAAAGACCACUUCAUCCCCCAGUGGACUUUGGCAGGCGGUUUCCGCAUGAAAAAAGAGCUUUUCUAUUGCAUCUUGAAUGAUGUUGUUGCACAUGAGCCAUACUUUACCCAGAAGAUCGACGCUUAUGGACCUCUGAAACCUCUGAAACCUUAUCAUAAGAGUCGCAACUGUUAGAAAACAGUUAAUUAAACUAAUCCAAAUUAAUUAAAAAAAAAUAUUAAUUCGAAACUAAAAAAUUAAUUUAAACCUGAAAGUGCCCAAAUGCCCCAAAACCAAGGCCCAUCUUUUUUAUAAUUAAAUAUUAUAUAUUAAUUAUAUAAUAUUCAAUGCCCAAAUUGAUUUUGAAACCCAAUUGACUUCCACUUGGCCCAACUUUCAUUUACCAAGUGCGGGACUUCCACACUUAUAAAAACCUCACUCUUUCUUCUUUCUACCAAUGUGGGACAAAUGUCCUUGAGUUUCAUUCAAACUUCCAACAAUAUCCCACAUUUGAAUCGAAAUUUUAGACCCCACAUUUGAAAUGUUAUACUUAUAGUGCUAAAUGAAUGUAAUGCAUUUGAGAGGAAGCAGACGUUAUAUACAUCAGGAAAAGUGUCAUUUGGACUUGAACUUACCCUAGUGAAAACAUAUCGGAUUUACUUGGUGAUGUAGUGGACAUAAUUGAUCUUGAAUUGUUCACUGCUAUAGUAAACCUAGACAAUAUGUCUCACACAUAUAACACCUUAACAAACGUUAGUUCAUACGUUUUUGUUCAUUUUGGUCCUGAACAUGUCCCAAGUUUCAUGAGAGCUUUAGAGAACUUAGCCUUUUUUCGUUUUCAUAAAUGCUGCCCCACAUUACUCCCAUACAGGUGACACCAAUUAAGAGUUUUCUACCUAACUCCUCUUAAUAAGAUAUUAGUGUCAUUAAAUGCAAAGCAUAACCUUCACAUCAACAGACAACAAACUAACCAUCAUAGGAAUGAAUUGCAUUGUGUGUUCAACUUUUUGAAUCUUACCCAACCAUUUUUCCUAUUGAACCUAGACCAUGGAAUCUCCAAUCAAUUAGGUUAGGUUUAUGCCAGAUUUAACUUAUUAGAUUGGCUUUAAUCUCAUUCCUCUCGAUGUAAAUUUGAUUUGCUCUCUUGGUAGGCCUUUUAUCAAAGGAUCUGCAAUAUUUUCCUUUGACUUCACAUAGUCAGUGGAUAUAAUUCCAAUUGAGAGCAAUUGUCUAAUUGUAUUAUGCCUACGCCUGAUAUGUCUUGACUUUCCAUUGUAUACACCACUUUAGGCUCUUGCUUGUGCUGCCCUCACAGUGUAUACGAAUUGCUAUCACAAGCUUAGGCCACAUUGGAAUGUCUUCUAGGAAGUUUCUCAGCCAUUCUGCUUCUUCAGCAGCUUUAUCCAAGGCUACAAACUCUGAUUCCAUUGUAGAGCAUGCUAUACACGUCUGUUUAGAGGAUUUCCAAGAUACUACAGCUCCACCUAAUAUAAAUACAUAUCCACUAGCUGAUUUGGUUUCUGUACUGUCAGAAAUCCAAUUUGCAUCACUAUAGCCUUCCAGAACUGGUGGAUAUUUUGUGUAAUGCAAUCCAUAAUCUUGGGUGUAUUUCAAAUAUCUUAACACCUUGAUUAAUGCCUCCCAAUGAUCAUGUCCAGGAUUGCUUGUGUAUCUACUAAGCUUGCUUAAUGAAUAAGCUAAGUCUGGCCUUGUAGAAUUCAUUAAAUACAUUAGGCUGAAUACUCCAAUUGGGAAAUUGCACCUCCAUUAUUCUUCUUUAACUUGCAAUUUACAUAAAAAAGAGUCACAGCAGGUUUGUAGUCAAAUUGACAAAACUUUCUUAAGAAAAUUCCGCAUAAUGGGAUUGAGUAAGAAUAUACCCAUCACUAUUUCUUUUGAUUUGAAUUCCCAAAAUGACAUCAGCUUGACCUAAGUCUUUCAUGUCAAAAUUUGAAUUCAACAUUUUCUUUGUAGAAUUUAUUGCAUCCUUACGUGUUCCCAUUAUGAGCAUGUCAUCAACAUAUAAACAUACAAUAACACAAGAAUUUUUGUUGUUCUUUAUGUAAACACACUUGUCACACUCAUUGAUCUUAAAUCUGUGUGACAUCAUUGUCUGAUCAAACUUUUGAUGCCAUUGUUUUGGAGCUUGUUUAAGUCCAUAUAAAGACUUAACAAGUUUACAGACUUUAGUUUCUUGACCUUUUACCACAAAACCUUCUGGUUGUUCCAUGUAUAUUUCUUCAUCUAAUUCUCCAUUUAAAAAAGCUAUUUUUACAUCCAUUUGAUGUAUGUCCAUAUUGUGUAUAGCAGCUAUAGCAAUUAACAUCCUUAUAGAUGUAAUUCUUGAUACUGGAGAAUAAGUGUCGAAAUAAUCCAACCCUUCCUUUUGCUGAUACCCUUUAGCAACUAAAUGUGCCUUGUAUUUAUUGAUAGUACCAUUGGCUUUUAGCUUUCUUUUAAAAAUUCAUUUAAAUCCAAUUGGUUUGUUAUCAGGUGGUAAAUAAACCAAUUCCCACGUAUGGUUCUGCAUAAUGGAUUCUAUUUCGCUAUUAACAGCUUCCUUCCAUAAAGGAGCCUCAGGUGAAGGCAUAGCUUUCUUAUAAGUUUGUGGUUCUUCUUCAGUCAGGAAACUUACAAAAUUUGGUCCAAAUUUUUUUGCUGUUUUAGUCCUCUUUCCUCUUCUACGUUCCUAGUCUUUUUCUUGGACACCUAAAGAGGAUGGUUCAUCAGGAUUUCCAUCAUGUACUUUCCUCUUGUUUGAACCAAACUUUUUUUCUUUAUAAGGAAAAAUUUCCUCAAAGAAAUCAGCAUCAACAGAUUCUAUAAUUGUGUUAACAUGUAUAUCAGAAAUAUCAUAUUUAAUAACUAAAAAUCUAUAUGCAGCACUUGUGUUAGCAAAACCUAUGAAAACACAACCAAUAGUUUUAGGUCCAAGUUUUACCCUCUUUGGUAAGGGUACUUGUACUUUAGCUAGGCAACCCCACACUUUCAGUGUCUUGUAUGUAGGAAUCCGUCCUUUCCACACUUCAUAAGGAGAUUGUUUAGUCUUCUUAUGUGGAAUUCUAUUCAAAAUGUUAUUUGCAGUAAGUAAGGCUUCACCGCACAGAUUGUGUGGAAGCCUAGAGUUAUUCAACAUGGAAUUUAUCAUCUCCUUGAAAGUUCUAUUUUUCCUUUCUGCUACACCAUUUUGUUGCGGUGUAUAUGGUGCAAUGGUUUGAUGUAUAAUUCCAUGAGUUGUACAAAAAUAAGAAAAUGCAGUAGACUCAUAUUCUCCGCCUCUAUCUUAUCUAAGUACUUUCACUUUUCUAUCAAGUUGAUUCUCAAUUUCUGCCUUGUAUGUCUUAAACAUCUGUAAAGCUUCAUCCUUGCUUUGUAUUAAGUAUACAUAACAAUGCUUAUUGCAAUAAUCUAUAAAUGUUGUAUAAUAAUUUUUUCCACCACGAGUUGGUGUGGAUUUCAAGUCACAAAGGUCACUAUGAAUUAAUCCAAGUAAUACAUUUGACCUUCCUUAAAUAGAUUUAAAGGUUUGCCUAAAAAACUUGGAUUCUAUACAAGUUUCACACUUAUUAUUAAAGUCAAUAUCAAAUUUGGGCAAUAAACCUAGAUGCAUCAUUCUAUGCAUAGAUCGAUAAUUUACAUGACCUAACCUAGCAUGCCCAAAUAUUUGAAGGCUCAACAAAGUAAACGGAAACCUUAUUUAUAUUAUUAAAAGCAUCAUUGCCAGUUACAUUGAGUUUGAAGAAGCCAUCAACAAGGUAACCCAUUCCUACAAACAACCUUCCUUUGGUUAGGAUGAACUUGUUAGAUUCAAAAACAAGUUUGAAACCCUUCUUGCUCAGAAUAGGGCCAGACACUAAAUUCUUCCUAAUUUCAGGAACAUACAGCACAUCCAAAAGGGUUAAAACCUUCCCAGAAGUGACUUUAGCAACACACUGCCUUUGCCUUCAAUUGCAGAUAUAGAGGCAUUUCCUAAGUACAGAUUUCAGUUACCACAAAUGUGCCUAGUAGUACCUGUAUCAACCCACCAAUCCUUAGUAUCAGAAACCAUAUUGGUUUCAGACACUACAACCACAAAAUCCUCAUUGACUUCAGUCAUGUUGGCUUGAAGAUUGGUUAGAUUUUGGUCUUUUCGAUGGUAGAAAUCUUGUAUUUUAUACCCUGAUUUUCCACAUACCUAGCAAGCGUCUUUGAUUUUCUUGAAAUCCUUACCUUUUGGUGCAUGAAGAUUGGCAUAAUUCUUUGCUUGCCCUUGUUUUUCUAGAACUUUGGCUUUGAUGUCUCAACGACAUUGGCUUUGGCUUUCAUGACAGGCACUUCACCUUUGUCACCUUUCCUGCGAUCCUCCUCAACUCGAAGCCUCAAAAUUAGAUCCUUCAUAGACAUCUCUCUGCGCUUGUGCUUCAAGUAAAUUUUGAAGUCUUUCCAUGAUGGAGGCAGUUCCUCUGUGAUUACUUCAACUUGAAAGUGUUCAUUAAUAGAACACCCCUUUGCAAGCAUAUCAUGGAUCAGAAUUUGAAGUUCCUCAAACUGUUUAAUAACAGUCUUGAAAUCAACCAUGGCAUACUUGAGAAAUUUUCCAAUCACGAACUUUUUGGCACCAGCAUCUUAUGUUUUGUAUUUUUUCUCAAGUAAUUCCCAAACUUCCCUUGUAGAAUUGUAUGAUGAAUAAAUGUCAUACAGAGUAUCAUCAAGCUUGUUAAGGAUGUAGUUUCUGCACAGCAAAUCAGAUUGUUUCCAAGCCUCAAUGGUCAUCAUUGUCUCCUUAGACAUUGGAUUUUCUCUUGAUUUGGGAGCCUCUUCUCUGACAACAUGUGCCAAAUUCAUGGUUGUGAGAUAGAAAAACAUCUUCUGUUGCCAUCUCUUGAAGUCAAUUCCCUUGAACUUCUCAGGCUUCUCGUCAUGAGGAUUCUUAGUCACCCCAUUCACAGUCAUUGGUGAUUGUGAAUCCAUCGGUUUUUACUGUCUUUAGGUUGUUGGAAAAACAACAAUUAGUGACUAUUUAAACUAAUUAUUUAUUAAUAUAUAUAUACAUAUAUAUAUAUAAAUCAAUGAAAUAGAAUUUAUAACAAACUGUAAUACAGAAUACAGUAAACAAACAACAAAUGAAACUGACUUGGAUUCGAGAUAGAGGCUUGCAGAUUUGAUGCAAUGUCCUAAAGACAGUAAUUUCUAUUAGGAAAUAUCUUUGUAAAUAUUUGUAAUAUCUUUACUUGCCCAAAUUAGUGUAGGUCAAAUCCCACUAAUAUUGGAUCACGUCUUCAAAGCCUUAACAGUAGGGUUGAUAGAAGGCUAUUGUUGUAUAUAUGUAUUGUACUAUUUGACGUUGGUAAUACAACAGAAUAUUCAACCAUUUACUUUCUUUAGUUGGUAUCAGAGCUUCAUCCUGGUACUUGACCCCUUCUACUUCCUAGCCACCUUCAAACACCAUGUCAGAUCAAACACCACCAGAAACCAGAGACAAUACUUCCAAAAAUUCAAGCACCAACACCAAAAAUCCUGGUAUGGAUUCAUCACACCCAUAUUUUGUUCAUCAAUCAGAUCACCCGGUCUCAUGCUCGUUCCCAUAAAGUUGAAUGGCACCAAUUACCCAUCUUGGAGUAAAUCCAUGCUCCAUGCUCUCACGGCCAAGAACAAAGUUGGCUUUGUCAAUGGAUCCGUUCAACCUCCUUCAGAAACAGAACAACCAACCGAAUAUGCUCUCUGGAAUCAAUGCAACAGUAUGAUUUUAUCAUGGCUUGCUCAUUCGGUGGAACCCGAUCUGGCCAAAGCAGUUGUUCAUGCCAAGACUGUCCAUCAAGUUUGGCAAGAUUUCAAAUAUCAAUUCUCACAAAAGAAUGCACCAACCAUAUAUCAGAUACAGAAAUCCAUCGCCUCUCUCUCACAAGGCACCAUGAUGGUUUCAGACUAUUACAAGAAACUCAAAGAUCUUUGGGACGAAUUAGAAACAUAUCAAACACCUCUCACAUGUAACGAGAUGAAAGCACACAAUACACAAAAGGAAGAAGAUCGGAUGAUGCAAUUCCUUAUGGGCCUCAACGACACCUACAACGGUGUUCGCGGGAAUAUCCUCAUGAUGUCGCCAUUGCCUAAUGUCCGCCAAGCCUAUUCACUUGUCGUUGAAGACGAAACACAGCGACAAAUAACAUCAGGACCAACAGAGAAUUUUUUUCAUUGCCGCUGCAAUUCACAACCGAUCAAACAAUAUGUCGAAUAAUUCGACGAACAAACACUGUGAGCACUAUGAUAGAAACGGUCAUACAAUUGAAGAAUGUCGGACCCUCAAAUUCCAUUGCAAGUAUUGUGAUAGGAGAGCCCACACUGAGGAUAGAUGUAAAUUUAAAAAUGGGACAUGGAUUCCCAAUGACACAGGAAUUCAAGGCAGUAGGCAUAAUCAAUCUAAGCAACAACGUCAAGGGUCUAGAGGGCACAUCAAUUCACAUGGGUCCUUUCCUACUGCCCACGCCGCAGACACAGCUCUAGCGCAUGAGGCCCAAUCAUAUGGUUUCAGUGCACCAACCCAGCCAGCCUCUCAAUCUAACCCUUUACAUGGGUUUUCUGCAGAGCAACUCCAACAACUAGCACAUGCCGUUUCUAUGAUGAGUUCAACUCAUUCCUCUAGUAAUAGCAAUGCUUAUGCAAAUGCUGCAGGUCUGGCUCCUUUUUCCAUUCCCUCCAUAAAUUCUGUGUUCACUAAACCUUGGAUUUUAGAUAGCGGAGCUACUGAUCACAUCACUUAUGAUCCCACACUUUUCACUAAAACUGAAUCAUCACAAAUGCCCAUUGUUAAUUUACCUACUGAUUCUCAUGCCCCAAUCACUUCCACUGGCACUAUACCAUUCAAUUCAAAUAUCACAUUAGACAAAAUUUUGUGUGUUCCAUCUUUUCGCUUAAAUCUUAUGUCUGCCAGCAAACUUACUACUUCUCUAAACUGUUGUGCCAUUUUAUUUCCUACCUUCUGUGUCUUGCAGGACUUGGCUACAGGGAAGAUGAUUGGCUUGGGUAAACAGCGUGGUGGUCUCUAUUACAUGUCUCCAUUGCAAAAGACACCUAUCUAAUAUCAAGUUUCACUCUCAUCUGAUUUAUGGCACAUGCGACUUGGACACCCAUCCCCCGCUCGUCUUCGAUUAGCUUCUUCAUUAUUGCCUUCCAAUACUAUUUCUUUUGAUAAUAAUUAUAGUGUUUGUCCCAUGGCCAAACAAACAAGACUUCCAUUUCCUCUAAGUUCAAUAUCAACUAAAGCUCAUUUUGAUUUGUUACAUUGUGAUAUUUGGGGUCCACACAAAGUUAUCACACAUUCAGGGGCACGUUUCUUUCUUACCAUUGUGGGUGACUUUACUAGGUGCACAACGAUAUUUUUGAUGCAGCAUAAAUCUGAAACCCAAAACCUUCUCAAAUCUUUUGUUGCUUUUGCCCACUUUCAAUUCCAUGCCAACAUUAAAACCAUUCGGGUAAACAACGGGUCUGAAUUUUUCUCCAUGAGGGAUUUUUUUCAAAAUAAUGGCAUUGAAUAUCAGCGCACUUGUGUUUACACUCCACAACAAAAUGGAGUCGUCGAACGCAAGCAUCGCCACAUUCUCACUGUCGCAUGUGCAUUACUUUUUCAGUCUCACUUACCCAUUAUUUUCUUGGGUGAAUGUGUCUUGACCGCUGUCUAUCUUAUUAACCGAUUACCCUCACCAUUACUUUCCAGUAAAUCACCUUUUGAAUUGUUAUACAACCGUCCCCCAUCACUCGACCACUUGAAAGUCUUUGGUUGUCUCUGUUAUGCAACUAUUGUCCAUCCUCUUCACAAAUUUGAUCCCCAUGCCACACGUUGUGUCUUUGUUGGAUAUCCUACUGGCCAAAAGGGUUACAAACUCUACAAUUUGGAGACAAACAAAUUUUUUGUAAGCCGUGAUGUCCGAUUAUGUGAAAAUACCUUCCCUUUCUCUCAAUUUUUGGCCUCCCUUACCCCACCUACUUCUCAGCCCUACCUUUCCUUUGAUUUUCUUAACAGCUGGACCCCACCAAUUGAUCCGCCCAACCCACUAGCCAAUCCACCCAACCCUCUAACCAACCCACCACAAGUGCCUAACCACUCUAUCCUCUCUGACGCACAUGACGAGCUUGACAGCCCCACCUCUCCCAUCCCACCUUUGUCCCCAUCCGUCGACCCCACCCCUCCACAUACAGAUAAUCUCAUUCCUCUCAUUCCCCCUCCUCGAUAGUUCACUCGCUCUAAACAUCCUCCGGCAUGGCAUACAGACUACCACAUGUCCAACCAUGUCAAUCACUCAACCUCAACACCUCGUUCUGCAUCAGGUACUCGGUAUCCCCUUUCCCACUUCCUUACCUACUCUCGUUUAUCCUCUACCCAUUGUGCUUUUCUCGCUAACAUUACAGGUCACACAAAACCCACAUCCUAUGCUCAGGCUAUUCUUGAUCCACAUUGGUGCCAAGCCAUGACUGCAGAACUAGAGGCUUUACAGCACAAUAACACUUGGAGUUUGGUUCCCCUGCCUGUUGGUCAUAAACCGAUCGGAUGCAAAUGGGUCUACAAAAUCAAAUACAAGUCCGACGGCACCAUUGAGUGCUACAAGGCUCGGCUUGUUGCUAAAGGCUACACUCAAAUUGAAGGCAUCGAUUAUCAGGAGACUUUCUCCCCUACAGCCAAACUCACUACCCUCCGUUGUCUUCUUACUGUUGCUGCUACCCGCCAUUGGUUCAUCCACCAAUUAGACGUUCAAAAUGCUUUUCUCCAUGGCGAUUUACAUGAGGUGAUGUACAUGGAGCCUCCUCCUGGUCUUCGCCGACAGGGGGAGAACGUUGUAUGUCGGCUCAACAAAUCUCUUUAUGGUCUCAAACAGGCUUCCAGAAACUAGUUUUCCACCUUUUCAAAUACCAUUCAAAAGGCUGGUUAUCAACAAUCUAAAGCUGAUUAUUCUCUUUUUACCAAGGCUAAAGGCACUUCAUUUACUGCAGUUCUUAUCUAUGUUGAUGACAUACUUCUCACAGGAAAUAAUCUUCAAGAAAUGGAAUGACAGGACCCGAUCCAAAUUCCGCUUUGGAAUCCGACCCAGACCCUCUGCGUGUCCGACACCUGGCGAAUGUCGGGCACAAAUGACCUAUUUGCCCUUCUAUACAAAACACGAUAAAAAUAACAAGGUUGACUUCUACCGAAAAAUCGACAGAGUUUCCCUUGUAACUGGCUCAAUACCAAAACAUUUACACCUGUCAAAACAAGUAUAUAUAUAUAUAUAUAUACAACCAACUGCCAGCAUACAUAUAUAUACACAUGCAAAGAGUUCACAGCUCAGUCUAGGGCAAAACAUCAGAGCGACUACUAAGAAUUUACAAAAGAGUGAAUCUUUGUACAAAAUACAAAUCCUACAUCAAAGAAAGGCGCGGAAGAUGGGAAGUGGCCCGGUGGUGGAUUCCUGUGCACGUCUACUGCCUGGGGGCGCAAAACAACAAAAGGGGUGAGUGGACCCAAAAACAAAGCUUAGAAACUACCAUAUGAACAUACUAACCCCACUGUAAAAACAGUUAUACAAACUAGCUUAUUUUCUUUAUUUUUGAAAUCAGUGCAUGUAUAUAUAUAUACAUUUGAAAACAGUUUAAACUAUCACCUAGGUGUACCCUUAUUUCCGUCAAUUCCUUAUAUCCGUCAAUUCAUUGCAUCACCAUGGGUGACACAUACUCGCAGGUCUCAGUGACACGAAGUCAGUCCUAGCCGCAACUCGCAGGAUUCAGGGAACCGUAGUCCACCUUUAUCCGCAUUACUCGCUCCACACGAGUUCGAGUAACAAAGAACUCGUGGGGCAACUGUCAAGCAUGCUGACUAAACCGAAGGCAACAAAUAUAAUCGAAGGCAACAUUUAAUAUCUGGGUACCAUGUGGUUUAAGAAAAUAUAAAGUUUCUGAAGAAAAUCUGUUGAAUAAUUAACUGUCUGUAACCUUUAAAAUUCUGCUGCCAUUUAUCUGAUAAUUAACGAGAAUAUCUUUUCCUGUAUUCUUUAAAAGGAAAUUUCACUCGGCAGCAUGCAACAUAAAAUAUUUAACAGCAUAAAACAGCUUAUAACUGAAACUGAACUGCUUAAAUUCAUUUAUUAAAACAAAGAGUCCACUCACUGAUAGUCUGAGCUCGCUGGACCUCUUGAAGGUCCCUCCUGUGGGUCAACUAGUGCCCGGGUGCCUUAC
rnacentral:lncRNA from 1 species